rnacentral:tRNA from 1 species
GGGGAUAUAACUCAGUUGGUAGAGUGCUUGCCUUGCAUGCAUGUGGGUUCAAUCCCCA